GGCCAGGCAUCAACAUAGCAUCGUAACCAUCCUCAUCGAAUAAGUACUUCUAUUUUCUCCUUGAGUUGCCAACACUCCUUAGUGUCAUGACUGUGGUCCCGAUGAUACCUAUAAUACUUCUUUGCAUCUCUCACACGUGCCGGCAUAGUCAUCUUCUUUGACCUCGGGAGCUCUUCUUGAUGUUCUAUCUCCAUCAAUAUUUGUGCCCGUGGGGUGUUAAGUGGAAUAAAAUUGUAAAACCUCCAUGAGGGAG
rnacentral:lncRNA from 1 species